UGAAGUAGAAAAGAGCACAUGGUGGAUGCCUAGGCGGUAGGCGUCGACGAAGGACGUAGCAGGCUGCGAAAAGCCUCGGUGAGCCGCGAGCGGGCCGUGAUCCGGGGAUAUCCGAAUGGGGAAACCACAAGGGGUUCAAGACCCUUGAGCAUCCGAUGAAUUCAUAGUCGUAUGCGGGCAACCUGGCGAAGUGAAACAUCUCAGUAGCUCGAGGAAAAGAAAUCAAUCGAGAUUCCCCCAGUAGUGGCGAGCGAAAGGGGAACAGCCUAAACCGACUCAACGUGAUAGGCGGCGGCCGUUGUUGAGUGGGGGUUGUAGGACUGCAUAUCGGGUCCCGCUGGACCUGAGCAGAGUUACAAAACCGCGAUUUAAUUGAAGAGCCCUGGGAAGGGCCGCCAAAGAGUGUGAUAGCCACGUAAGUGAAAAGUCUGUGGUCUCUGUUGUGUAGUUCCUGAGUACUGCGGGGCACGUGGAACCCCGUAGGAAUCCGGGUGGACCAUCAUCCAAGGCUAAAUAUGACCUACCGACCGAUAGCGAUUAGUACCGUGAGGGAAAGCGUGAAAAGAACCCCGGGAGGGGAGUGAAAUAGAACCUGAAACCGUGUGCUUACAAACCGUGAAAGGCCUAUGGAGCAAUCCAGGCUGAUCGCGUGCCUAUUGAAGAAUGAGCCGGCGACUUACUGAUGCGGGCGAGGUUAAGGGACUGAGGUUCCGGAGCCGAAGCGAAAGCGAGUCUGAACAGGGCGUUCAGUCCGUAUUAGUAGACCCGAAGCGAAGUGAUCUAUCCAUGGUCAGGGUGAAGCUUACUUAACCGUGAGUGGAGGCCCGAACCGUUGUUUGUUGCAAAAGACUCGGAUGAACUGUGGAUAGCGGUGAAAUGCCAAUCGAACUUCGUAAUAGCUGGUUCUCCCCGAAAUAGCUCUAGGGCUAGCGUCGGGAUUUAAGCACUGGGGGUAGAGCACUGACAGAGCUAGGGGACCUGACAGGUUACUGAACUCCAUCAAACUCCGAAUACCAGUGUGUAUAUCUCGGAAGUCAGACUACGUGGGAUAAGCUGCGUGGUCAAAAGGGAAACAGCCCAGACCGACUGCUAAGGUCCCCAAAUUUCAGCUAAGUGGUAAAGGAAGUCAGAAUUCUUAGACAGCCAGGAGGUUGGCUUAGAAGCAGCCACCCUUAAAAGAGUGCGUAAUAGCUCACUGGUCGAUGUUUUCUGGCGCCGAAAAUGUAACGGGGCUCAAGCUGAAUACCGAAGCAUCGGAUUGACUCGUGUGAGUCAGUGGUAGGGGAGCGUUCCGUACGCCUGUGAAGCCGUAUCGUGAGGAGCGGUGGAGGUAUCGGAAGUGCGAAUGCCGGCAUGAGUAGCGUAAAGAGAUGUGAGAAUCAUCUCCGCCGAAAGCCUAAGGUUUCCUGGGCCAGGGUUUUCCACCCAGGGUUAGGCGGGACCUAAGCCGAGGUCGAGAGACGUAGGUGAUGGAUAGCAGGUGAAGAUUCCUGCCCUACGGUGAUUUGUUUGAGCAAUGGAGUGACGCAGAAAGGUAGUUCUAGCGGCCGGUGGUAGUGCCGCGCCAAGCCUGUAGGGUGCUGGGAUAGGCAAAUCCGUUCCAGCUGAGCCUGAGAGGUGAUGGGGAGUGAAUUGAGUAGCGAACUGAACGAUCCUACGCUGCCUAGAAAAACUUCUAGUGAGAAUCAUCGUACCCGUACUGAAACCGACACUGGUGGGCAAGUAGAAAAUACUAAGGCGGCGGGUGAAGCCCUCUUAAGGAACUCGGCAAAUUAGCCUCGUAACUUAGGGAUAAGAGGUGCCUCUGAAGGUGAAAGAUUUACUCUGUAAGCUUUUGGAGGUCGCAGUGAAAGGGCCCAAGCGACUGUUUACCAAAAACACAAGUCUCUGCCAAGCCGUAAGGCGACGUAUAGGGGCUGACCCCUGCCCGGUGCUGGAACGUUAAGGGGAGGGCUCAGGGUGCAAACCCGAAGGCUUAAACCGAAGCGCCAGUAAACGGCGGCCGUAACUAUAACGGUCCUAAGGUAGCGAAAUUCCUUGUCGGGUAAGUUCCGACCCGCACGAAUGG
rnacentral:rRNA from 1 species